rnacentral:lncRNA from 1 species
AAGGCACUAUAAAAUAACAUUCUCUCUUUCUAGUCGUAGUUCACAUGCAUGUACAGCCAUUAGAAUAACAUGAUUACCAAAAAAUAACAUAUAAUAUCUUACCAAUAAUUAUGUAAGAUUCAUCACCAAACUUGUAGGCAUAUGAUAUGCAACUUAAUGGAGAGGUCCUUCUCUUAUAUAGACUAAUAAAAGUUUCAUACCCAUUUUCUAAUUAAGACAAAAUCCAUGAAAAAUCUCAAGGCCUCUCUUGAAUAGUGUCCAAACACUAAAAACAAAGGUAAUGAGCAAACAGUUGAGUAUCAGAGCUUUGUCCUUUGCCAAAUCCCCAUUAGCUUCUUAUUUUUUUCUUUCUCAAACAAUCUCUCUGAAUAACUGGCUUUCAUUUUCUCAUAGAACACCCUUUAGAUAUAAAUAGAAUGAAUUAAGGUUAAUUUACCUAUUUAAUAAAUUUAGGAUAAACCUACAAAUUACACCCAGUAUUUCUCAUAGAUCAUAUCUACGAAAGAGUUUCUUAAACAUCACACUAUCAAAAUAAACAAUUUGUUCACCAUGCUUGAUCUCAAAAAUGGCAUUGUAAAAAGUAUUUAUAAUACUUAUAUAUAAAAUCUUAAUUCUAAUAAAAAGUUUAACACUAGAUUAAACUAUAAGUAAAAUCUUAAAAGACACUCCAUGCCUUACAUGAAUCGUGCAUCAUAUGAUUUAUUUACAUACAUUUACACAAUGAUUAUUAUGAAAUAGGGAAGCUGUGAGUAAAUACUGAAUGAGUGGAGACUGUAGAAGGUGAGAGUAAUGCUAGUUAAAUCGAAUUUGGUCAUCAGCUGAAUAUAAUUUAAAAAUGACCAGAUUUGAAGGGGUUGAGUUAGAAGAAUUGAAUAAAAUAGUCGGGUGAAGAGAGAGCAUGAACGAAUACUGAGAAGUGGAGAAGGAAGAGAACGAAUAGGUUAUGAUCUGGAGAAAUUGGGGAAAAAAAGAAAUAGCAGGGCUAGAUCCAACAUAGAGAUGAGAGAGAACACAAAUAUGCUCUCCUUAUACAGAAAUUAAGUAGGAGAAAUAGGUAAAACAAAACAGAAAACCAUUGGACCCAAAUAGAGGAAAAUUGAUGAAGAGAGAUAGCAAAUAGAUAGAAUGUAUAAGAGUUUAGUGUGAGGAAAUUUGAUCAGGCAUGUAGGGGAACUAACUAUAAGGGAAAUUUGAUCAGGCAUGUAGGGGAACUAACUAUAAGCUAGGGAAAAUAGAUCCUGAAUAAUUUGUUGGUUGUUUCUGGUGUGCAGGAUGACUACGUGGGAGUGUGUGGUCGAAUGGUGGUCAGGAUAUGCUUGAUAAAUAAAUGCAUUAUAUGUUAGCUGAUAUUUGCUAUGGUGACACCUGAUAUACAUGUUGCAUGUGUUAAUAAAAUUAGUGUGAGUAGCCAGGUCAGGGUCAUUUAUUUUGCAUUAUGUUAUGAUUUCAUAAUGACAUCUGAUUGAGUAGUAACGUAAGGUGGGAAGGGGAUCACCAGAAGGUUAGUAUGUCUAAUGCAAUAUGUUAUGGAUGAUAUUCAACAUUAUUGCCUUGUCUGACAAUUUAUCUGCAGUUUAUGAGCCAACUGAGCAUGGGUUUACAGAUGAGAAGGGAAAAUUGAUGUUUGGGCAUAUUGUUGUAAAAGGAAUGGCUUAGGUCUAGGAAGGGUGUGAGGGUUCUGAAAUACCAAAAGUGCCAUAUGGCUGCUGAAUAUUGGAGCAAAUUGGGAUAGGGUGAGGGAUUUAACUUGCUGUAUUGAGAGAAUACUAUGUUGACGGAAAAUGGAGACAACUCCUAUCUAUCAAGGAGUCGGUCUGGGUAGACAAGCGGUAGGAAAUGUAGAGGUUAGGUGUUGGGAAGUGCUAAGGUGCAUGUGGGUUGAACUGUAAGGAAGAUCCUGGUGGUGAAGUUUUGGAAACCUAGCAGAAAGAAAGGUCAGUGACUGUUAUGAGUGGGAGAGCGCAGAGAGAGAUUCUGCAAUGUUCCACAAGCAUCACAGAGAAAGGCACUGGGCUGUUUGAGUGAGAAAGGGUAAGAAUGAUUCUGUAAAAAUAUGGAGGUCUUGAGGAGGAUUAUGGUCUAGGAAUUAUACUGAUUUAAAUACAUUGUUUUGAAUUCUAAAUUUGAUUUACUGGGUAUGUGUAGGCUCAUUAUAUGUUUAUUUACAGAUACAGUGAAGUAGGAAUCGGAGCAAGAAUCACCAUUGGCAGAUCCCAACACUUAGAGAAGGCAGAGGGUUUCGAAGGAGAUUAGGCAGAAAAUUAACCCCAUAUUAUAACACAAGAGUACUUUAUUUCAAGUCAAAUUAGUAUAUAAUACACCAAUAGUAUGCAUAGAAGUACUGAAGGAAUUUGAUGAAUUUAUGUUAGACAUAUAUUGGAAAUGAAUUCUGGUUACUUUAUGUUGAGAAGUGAUGUUAUAAAAUUGAUUAAUAUGACAGGUUGCAUUGACACCUCAUCUAAAUUAGUAUGGGGCAUUACAGUAUAAAUGUAAAUGAGGUCAUGUUUUGAUGUGCACAUAAGAAUGAGAUUUUGAUUACCUUAUGUUGAAUGAUUGCAUUUCGGAGAUACAAUAUCAAAAGGUAGAGACAGGAUGUAGUAACGUCUUAACCAUUUGGACCGCGGGGCGUUACAUCAUUAGUCUAUUUGAGCAAUUCACCACGGCCAACAAGGCCACUCACACACUACAAAUGCAAAAGAAAACAUAAGAGAAAGAUAAGGAUCAGUUCCUCUAAUCACCUUCUAUAUAACUCCAUUAACAUAACUCUUAAUCACAAUCUACUCCAUACCAUCAUACAUUUUAUUAUUUAUUUACCUCCUGUAUUCCCUUCCACCCACAUUCACUCAUUUAUACAGGUUUCUGUCCUCAUCAGACUUCUAAUUCUUUUUUUUUUUCUUUUUUUUCUUUUUUUUUCGGUCUGGAGUGUCCAUCCCGAUGCCUCAUUUUCCUCAUCAGACUUCCUUUUUUUUUUCUUUUUUUUUCAGUCUGGAGUGUCCAUAUCGAUGCCCCAUUUUCCUCAUUAGACUUUCAUAUCUUUCUUCAAGCAAUAUUCCUAAAUACCUCUAGUUUUCUCCCUAAUCGCCAGUACCUAGUUGAGGUUAAUCCCUACCCGCCAGUACCCAGUUGGUCAAAAGGAACUUCACAAACCUUAUAUGCAUUUCAAUCUUUAAAUCUUUAAAACAACCUAUAUGCAUUUCAAAAACCCAAACCUAAAAAUCGGAAUAUCCAAAGCAAGAAGCAAGAUAAUCAAUACUUUCCUUGAUUGAACGAAGGAGAGGUGAAGCAAGAUAACACAAAUGGCAGAAUCAAAGAAGUAGAAAUAGAAGAUGGAAGCAGAUGAAGCAGAAGACGGAAGCUGCAGUGAAAAAGAAGCAGUUUGGCUUUGAAGAUCAUGUAUUUCAUGAGUGCACCAAACUUAUAAAAAUCAAUAGUCGCCUUUUUUAAUAAAAAGUAUUUGACGGAUCAAUUCAUCUUCUGUCUGUGAUAUUGCAUUGUCAACUUACAGAUUAUUUCACAAAAGCUUUACCUCUUUCUACAUUUCAACAAGCUAUCAAGAAGGUUGGUAUACAAAACUUGUAUAUUCCACCUUGAGGGGGGCUGUCAGAGUUUACUAUAGUUAGUAAACUAAAGUUAGAAGCUAACCAUAAUAGAUUAGGUGAGCAAACAACUCUAGUUAGUUAUAAUUACUUCGUAAUUACAGAUUAGUUGUUCAUUAAGUUCAUUAAUUAUGUGUAUAUAAAUAUUGAAAAAUAAUAAAUGAGAAAAUAACAUUUCAUUUUGUUUUCCCCAUGUUAAAUGACUCUCUCUGGUUUAGUUUACUCUGCAAAUUGGCUCUUCAUAUUCUUUUUCUCGGAAC